UACAGAGGUCUCAAGCGUUGUUCGGAAUCACUGGGCGUAAAGGGUGCGUAGGCGGCGUGGAAUGUCAGAUGUGAAAUCCGGAGGCUCAACCUCCGAAUUGCAUCCGAAACUACCAUGCUGGAGAACUGUAGAGGGGUCUGGAAUUCUCGGUGUAGCAGUGAAAUGCGUAGAUAUCGAGAAGAACGCUCGUGGCGAAGGCGAGGCCCUGGGCAGUUUCUGACGCUGAUGCACGAAGGCUAGGGGAGCAAACGGG
rnacentral:rRNA from 1 species